GCAACAUAGUGAGACCUUGUCAACAAAAAAAUUUUAAAAAGACAAAAUUAGCCAGGUAUCGUGGUGCACACCUGUGGUCCCAGCUACUCUGGAGGCUGAGGUGGGUGGAUGGCUUCAACCUGGGAGGUUGAGGCUUCAGCGAGCCUUGAUCUUGCCACUUGGGCUUCAGCCUGGGCAAGAUCCUGUCUCAAAAAAAAAAAAAAAGAGAGAGAAAAGAAAGAAAAGAAAGAGGCAUGAGUGGGAGGAAUGUAGGCCACUGACCAGAUAUCCAGCAGGAGGCCAAGAGUGAAGUUGUUUGCAGUGUUAGGGAAGGUCGUGGGGCCAGGGCUGGGGCAGAAGGGUGGUCACUGUCACAGAUGAGCUCUGAGCUGCCCAUGAGAAGGAAGAAAUAGAGAAAAAGCAAAACCAUUUAAGAAGUGGAGAUAGAAAGACGAGCGCUUUGAUGUACAUUGGAAUGGCUGCAGCUGCGGCCAGAAAGGAGCACGUCCUCUCCCCAGAGAAACUUCCAGGGGAAAACACCAGGCUAGGAGUCCAGAGGCCCGAGUGCGAGUCCCGGGACUCCUGUAAGUCACAGGAGCGGACGCAUGCCACUUACCCGUGUCCUCAGCUGGAAAGUGAGAAUGACGGUGCCACCCUCUCCUUCUCGGGCCUCCCCUGCCCAGUUUUCUCGGUGCCUCAGUGCCCUCCUCCAGACAGAGGGGGUGAGGAAAGUGCUUGCUUCGCAGGGCAGUGAUGAGGGUCCAAGGAGGCAGCGCACGGUAAACUCCCUCCGAGGAAGCCAGGCUCGCAGUCAGCACUCAGCAUCGUUGUUGCUGCUGCUUCUGCU
rnacentral:lncRNA from 1 species